CUUUACUGUAUUCUGGCACUGGCGACUGGCUUUGCAUGCGUAGCAUAGCCGGGAGUCUUGGAGACCGCGCUUUCGGGCGCGGCGGAGACACCAGUGAAAUACCGGUCUUGUGAAGACGGUCGUCUAACCCAUCCCCGUGAAACCGGGGCCGGGACAAUGCCAGAGGGUCAGUUUGACUGGGGCGGUUUCCUCCUAAACAGUAACGGAGGAGUUCGAAGGUCACCUCGGCACGGUCGGCAACCGUGCGAUAGAGCGCAAAGGCAGAAGGUGGCUUAACUGCGAGGCGUACAUGCCGAGCAGAUGCGAAAGCAGGACUUAGUGAUCCGGCGGUUGCUCGUGGUAGCGCCGUCGCUCAACGGAUAAAAGGUA
rnacentral:rRNA from 1 species